AUGGCGCGUUGUGGGGUCGCCGUUCUCGUUCUGAUCCUGCUGGCCUGUGUCGCUGCGGCGGCUGCUGGCGGUGGGGAUCACCACCACCGGCGGGGCAGCAGGGCGUCGGCGCGGCUGCGGCUCGUGCCCGCCGCUCCGGGCGCGUCACUGGCAGAGCGCGCGCGGGACGACCGGCACCGGCACGCCUACAUCUCUCGGAGGCUGGCGUCGGCGUCGCCAAGCCGGCGGCGCGCGGCCGAGACGUCGACGGCCCCGGGCCCGGAGGCGUCGGCGUUCGCGAUGCCCCUGACGUCGGGCGCGUACACGGGCACGGGGCAGUACUUCGUGCGGUUCCGCGUGGGCACCCCCGCGCAGCCCUUCGUGCUCGUCGCCGACACCGGCAGCGACCUCACCUGGGUCAAGUGCCGCGGCGCGUCCCCGCCGUCGGCCGCGUCUCCGUCAGGCUCGCCGCGCGUGUUCCGGCCGGCGGACUCCAAGUCGUGGGCGCCCAUCCCGUGCUCCUCCGACACGUGCAAGUCCUACGUCCCCUUCUCCCUCGCCAACUGCUCCGCCGGCACCGCCCCCUGCGCCUACGACUACAGGUACAAGGACAACUCGUCGGCCCGCGGCGUGGUGGGCACGGACGCGGCCACCAUCGCCCUCUCCGGCUCCAACGGAGGCGGCGGCACGGACAGGAAGGCCAAGCUGCAGGAGGUGGUGCUGGGCUGCACCACCUCCUACGACGGCCAGAGCUUCCAGGCCUCCGACGGCGUGCUCAGCCUCGGCAACAGCAACAUCUCUUUCGCCUCCCGCGCCGCCGCGCGCUUCGGCGGCCGCUUCUCCUACUGCCUCGUCGACCACCUCGCCCCGCGCAACACCUCCAGCUACCUCACCUUCGGCCCCGACGCCUCCAACGGCGCCGCGCAGUCGCCGUCGAGGACGCCGCUGCUGCUCGACGCCCAGGUGGCCCCGUUCUACGCCGUCACGGUCGACGCCGUCUCCGUCGCCGGGGAGGCGCUCGACAUCCCCGCCGACGUGUGGGACGUCAAGAAGAGCGGCGGCGCCAUCCUCGACUCCGGCACCAGCCUCACCAUCCUCGCCACCCCGGCGUACAAGGCGGUGGUGGCCGCGCUGAGCAAGCAGCUCGCGGGAGUGCCGCGGGUGACCAUGGAUCCCUUCGAGUACUGCUACAACUGGACGGCCACGAGCACGCCGCCGGCCGUCCCGAGGCUGGAGGUGCGGUUCGCCGGGUCGGCGCGGCUUCAGCCCCCGACCAAGAGCUACGUCAUCGACGCGGCGCCCGGCGUCAAGUGCAUCGGGCUCCAGGAGGGCAUCUGGCCCGGGGUGUCCGUCAUCGGCAACAUCCUGCAGCAGGAGCACCUCUGGGAGUUCGACCUCGCCAACCGCUGGCUUAGGUUUAAGGAGAGUCGCUGUGCACAGUAA
rnacentral:rRNA from 1 species